rnacentral:pre_miRNA from 1 species
GUGAGCCGCGAGCUCGCUAGAUCUGGUGGCGGAGCUCGGGCUCGCUUGGAUUGGGAGCCCGAGCUCUGCCACCAGAUUCGGUGAGCUCGCGACUCGC